UCUGAAAAUAAUAAUUUUUUAAUGAUUAAGCAAAAUCUUUAAAAAAUCCAAAAUAAUAAUAAUAAUAAAUUUGGAAUUAGGAUAUCAAGGGAUUGGUGACCUGUGCCACCGAGACCUUGGACUUGGCGUAACGUUUUCACUAUUUCAUAUUUCGGGUGAAAUUGAAAAAGGGAAAGCCAAGUCGAUAACAAGACGUAAAUUGAAUAGCCGAGUCUGGCAUUUUUUUUUUGCUGUUAUCUAUUGGAGUCUUGGUUCCCUCUUUUCACUGGGUGCAACCGUGACGCAGCAAGUGCAGUUUAUCUGAACGAAGCUUUUGACAGCUGAAUUUGAAGGAGUGAUGAGGUCUGCGCUGAUGGAUGCAAUCCAUUCACGGCAUUGCCCGAGUUCGUGUUAUACCUACAAGGUCCGUCGUUGUUCUACCGGGCCGGUUUUUCCUACCGACAAGGCCACAUUAUACUCGGGCUGGGCCACCUGCAACGUGCGUGUGCAUACGGACGCAAUGAGACGCGCAUAUUUUGGCAUUACCUUGAGAAUAUUGUUGCUCUUCUUACACGAAGGACACGCGAUGAACGGCGUCAUAGUGUCAGCGGCAACGACCAGCGGCUUUCGGCAAACAGGAUCGCGGCAACGGAAACGAAGGGUGUCGUCAGUCAUUUCGCCGAUCAACGGCCAAUCUUCCGUACACGGUAGGCAACGACAAUCGAACCAGUAUCGAUCUUUCAGCGAUCGUUGCCGAUCGGCUCGACGUUUUUGCGUGAAGAUUGGGCCGUAAUUUUCGUUGACCAGCUCGCCGCGUUGGAAACUUUUGAUGGCUCUUUAAAUCAAAACCGCAAUUGUUUUUACAUGCGGUUUAGCUGUAAAUCGGUAUAGUACAAAGGGGAUGCAGUACCUUACGAUCAUCACAUCGCCGACAAAGCACCUGUAAUCAUGAUUGAAUACAAAAGAAGAUUAACAUCA